rnacentral:rRNA from 1 species
CACGUAGGGCGCAAGCGUUGUCCGGAAUUAUUGGGCGUAAAGAGCUCGUAGGUGGUUUGUUACGUCUGCUGUGAAAACCUAGGGCUUAACCCUGGGCUUGCAGUGGAUACGGGCAGACUAGAGGUAGGUAGGGGAGAAUGGAAUUCCUGGUGUAGCGGUGAAAUGCGCAGAUAUCAGGAGGAGCACCGGUGGCGAAGGCGGUUCUCUGGGCCAUUACUGACGCUGAGGAGCGAAAGCGUGGGGAGCGAACAGG